AUGGCAAAUCAUAAAAUAGUUGGUCAAACUCGAAUGGCACUUUUUGAAAUUCUCCCUGGCAUUUUUCUGCUUCUAAAGUUGAUGACAUUUUUUUGUAGUAUAGCAAAAACUAGUCUUUUUAUUUGUCACAGAAAAAGUAAACAGAAUCUGGGCUUCUUCUUUUGUUGUGCUAUUGGGCUUUUUUUUUUCGUUUUACAUGAAAAAGGCCCGGGCCUGGGGAGGGCGUUCGUGAGUUCGAUGCUUUCCUCCCGAACGAAAGCGUUCGUGAGGGGGGAGCCCUCCUACCGAACCGUUCGUUCGGCCUGGGAGGUCCCCAGACCGAACAUUCGGGAGAUAUCGGCGUCCUAA
rnacentral:rRNA from 1 species